GCGGCUGGAGAGGUGGUGGUCGGAGAAGUAGGAACCUCCUGCUGGGCUCGUGACGGCUUCUGUGCGCUCCGCGGCGGGAAGCGCCUUCCCCACAGGGCUCUCUAAAUACGUACAGAUUCUGCGAUAAUGUGUGGACUUUUGUACUGAAUGAUGUUGAAUUCAGAGAGGUGACAGAACUUAUUAAAGUGGAUAAAGUGAAAAUUGUAGCCUGUGAUGGUAAAAAUACUGGCUCCAAUACUACAGAAUGAAUAGAAAAAAUAUGACUUUUUUACGCCAUCUUCUGUUAUUCAUUGCUUUUGAAGAGAAGCAUAGAAGAGACUUUUUAUUUAUUCUAGAAUUGCAGAAAUGACUACACUGUGCUAUACCAGAGAAUUCCAGUAGAAAGAAACUUAUAACUCUGUAGCCUCUUACAUCACCUUUAUUAUACAGCAUGAAAAACCAUAACUUUUUUUUAAGGACAAAAGUUGUUGCCUUCCUAAGAACCUUCUUUAAUAAACUCAUUUUAAAACUUUGAGUCAUAA
rnacentral:sRNA from 1 species